GCUCAGUCUAUCAUUCUGUUAUUCAGUCAAGGUGAACAAGUGUUAAAUGUGAAGGCUAUAUACAACAUACCUUGCUGUGAGUGGGUGGGAACCUUGCAUUCAUUGAUAUUAGCUUUGAGCUUAUGUCAAUGAUUUGGUACAUAAGGUGACAUUCUUAUGAUUACAGAAUUCCAUAUGUCAUAAAUAUGAGAAAGCUCUCAAUGCAUAAUUCGGGCAGUUCCACACAUAAAUACUAGGUGGCAGCCCAACACUGCCUUUGGGUAAUUGAGGAGUCUUGUCUGAUUCUCUACCCAGCACAUUAAUGGAAAAUUUUAGAUGCUUUAAGAAGGGCUUUCAGUGGGAAGGUUUACAGAAAUAAGUAAAUGAUGCUGAUGACACAUUUGUUAACUGCCUUUCUCCAAACCACUUUUUAAAUUACGAAUUAUACAUGCAAUUUAAUGAGACGGCAAAAACUUAAGGCAACUGAAAAAUAGGCAGAGGAUGUAAAUAGCUAUUUUAUAGGAGCAAUGCACAAGGCAAUGACCAUAUGCGGUGGGUGUUUAACUUUUUGGAAGAUGAGAAAUUAUAAUUAUGGUGAAGAACACUGUGGAAAAUGCCAAAAGUAG
rnacentral:lncRNA from 1 species